rnacentral:rRNA from 1 species
GUGCCAGCAGCCGCGGUAAUACGGAGGGUGCGAGCGUUAAUCGGAAUUACUGGGCGUAAAGCGCAUGCAGGUGGUUUGUUAAGUCAGAUGUGAAAGCCCGGGGCUCAAACCUCGGAAUUGCAUUUGAAAACUGGCAAAACUAGAGUACUGUAGAGGGGGGUAGAAGUUUCAGGUGUAGCGGUGAAAAUGCGUAGAGAUCUGAAGGAAUACCGGUGGCGAAGGCGGCCCCCUGGACAGAUACUGACACUCAGAUGCGAAAGCGUGGGGAGCAAAACAGGAUUAGAUACCCUGGUAG